rnacentral:rRNA from 1 species
AGUGAACGCUGGCGGCAGGCCUAACACAUGCAAGUCGAGCGGCAGCGCGUCCGACCACCCUCGGGUGGUCGGAUGGCGGCGAGCGGCGGACGGGUGAGGAAUGCAUCGGAAUCUGCCUCGUUGUGGGGGAUAACGUAGGGAAACUUACGCUAAUACCGCAUACGACCUACGGGUGAAAGUGGGGGACCUUCGGGCCUCACGCGAUGAGAUGAGCCGAUGCCGGAUUAGCUAGUUGGCGGGGUAAAGGCCCACCAAGGCGACGAUCCGUAGCUGGUCUGAGAGGAUGAUCAGCCACACUGGAACUGAGACACGGUCCAGACUCCUACGGGAGGCAGCAGUGGGGAAUUUUGGACAAUGGGCGCAAGCCUGAUCCAGCCAUGCCGCGUGCAGGAUGAAGGCCUUCGGGUUGUAAACUGCUUUUGUACGGAACGAAAAGACUACUCUCUAAUAAAGGGGGUAGAAUGACGGUACCGUAAGAAUAAGCACCGGCUAACUACGU